rnacentral:tRNA from 1 species
UAAAUAAUAAAAAAUAGUUUCGACCUAUAAUUAAACUUUAAGUAGUUUAUUUUUA